UGUUCACUUUAUAAAAGUUGUAAACUUUCUAUUAAUACUGUAUGUUUAUUUCCCCAAACUUGUACCCAUAAUUUGACUCUAAAAUUAUCAUUUAAGAACUGAUUUUUCUUUUUUGCACACUGGAGUACACAUCCAGGGCUUCUACCAUCUUUAAGUGUUUUGUGGUCUGUAUUUUCAGCUUUUUAAUUUUGGUCAUGGUGUUUACUGUCUUUUUUUUUAACUUACUAAUUUUGUUUGCCCCCUUGCUUUUUCCUUGCAUGUUCUUUUUCAUAUUGCUAAUUACUAUUUCCUGAAUUUACCUGUUCAGAUGCUUAUGGAAAUUUACCAAACUUUUUCAUACCAAAAGUUAUACAAAAACUUAAGGAUGUACUAAGGUGAGGUUUGGGAAUUUGUGUCAAAUGUUCAGACUCCUUGGGUUCUUCCAUACAAUGCCAGGUAAAAUAUUUUGCCCCAUAACACCCAUUUUUCAAUAUAUCUUAAUAGCUCAUGAAAGGUCAUUUACCAAAAUUUUAGAAGAUUCUUAAUUUUAUUUAUUUUGUUUUGAGACCCCAAUAAUACCAAUGCAAAUAUAAGGUAAAAGUCUGAGUCAGUCUUUUCCCGCCAUAUUUUGAAUCUCAAAUAUCUCGAAAAGGAGGUUCAUGACCUAUAUUUUUUUUUAGCUUAUUUGUAUCCUUAACGAAUGCUCUACCAGCUUAUAGUAUCAAUUUCAAAUUCUUAAUUCAUUAAUUUUUACCUAACCUCACCUAAGUACAUCCUUAAGUUAGUAAAUUUUAGUAUUAUAUUGUAGAAAUGUACUAAGACUCAAGUCAUAAUUCAUUGAGGGAACAGUCCAUAUUGUUUAAAUUUAGUUGUCGUAGUAGAUAUUCACCAUACUGUAAAUUUUUAAAGAAAACCUACAGUGAAAAACAUCCAAUCUUCAUAUGGCAACAUGUUCAAGAUUUAUAGUUUGUGUUGGAGAUAUAUUUCUUUACUAUGAAAGAUUUAAAUAAAAAUUUACAACAAAACAUAUGUGAAAUUAUCAGAUCUCCUUAAACAAAACAGCUUAGAUAAUUCAAAUGAUUCAAAAUUUUAAUUCAAAAACUAACUUGCUUUACAAAAUAUAAUUAAUUCACUUGUAACUGAAAGAUGUCAUAUUAAUCAGGGGCGGAUCCAGCCAUUUUAAAAAGGGGGUUCCCAACCCAGGACAAAGGGGCGUUCCAAAAACAUGUCCCAAUUUAAAUGCAUUGAUCGUCCAAAAAAAGUGAGGUUUCAACCCCCAGAACACCCCCCCUGGAUCCGCCACUGUUAAUUUUCAUAAUCCUUGUAAAACUUUCUUAUACGAAUUAAUUGUAGUGCCAUGUAGCGGUUGUAUUAGGCAUGUUUUCAAGGUGUAUUGACAAAAAGAUAUAUUUUUAAAGAGAAACAAUUAUUUUUUAAUUUCAUUUUGUCUGCAUGUUAGUGAAUAUGUUUAUGAUUUUAUGUGUAUUAAUAUGUUAUUUGAGUUUCAAUCAAUGCAAUUUAUUAUAUUAUCAAUGCAACAGUAGGGUAUUUUAUCAUUAUCAUCACAACAGUGGUUUAGUUCAAUAUUCAAGCAAUCUGUAGUAUUGUUUUGUCUUAUAAUCCAAAUUAGGUCUUGAUGGGGAUUUCAAAAUAGAGAAUAAUGGGCUGAAAAUAUAUAGAUUAUUGAAAAGUGGGUAUAAAAUAUAAAAAACAAAGAAGAAAUCGCAAAAAAAUGAAAAGGGGAAAAAAAUACCAUGAAAAAUUAAAGAAUAGAGAAAGUUGACAUAACAAAAUGUCAAAUUGGAGAAUACAGCCUCCUCAUAUUUAGACUUUGACAUCAUGAGUAUUGAACCCUCCUACAGCCCCUCAUGUUUAGACUUUGACAUCAUGAGUAUUGAACCCUCCUACAACCCUCAUAUUUAGACUUUGACAUCAUGAGUAUUGAACCCCCUCCUACAGCCCCUCAUAUUUAGACUUUGACAUCAUGAGUAUUGAACCCUCCUACAGCCCCUCAUAUUUAGACUUUGACAUCAUGAGUAUUGAACCCUCCUACAGCCCCUCAUAUUUAGACUUUGACAUCAUGAGUAUUGAACCCUCCUACGCCCUAUAUUUAGACUUUGACAUCAUUAGUAUUGACCCUCCUACAGCCCCUCAUAUUUAGACUUUGACAUCAUGAGUAUUGAACCCUCCUACAGCCCCUCAUAUUUAGACUUUGACAUCAUGAGUAUUGACAUCUGUUGUGAUGAGUCAGUGUAUACCAAUGCAAUGGAUUUCAGCUGCCAUUAUUAUAACUGAUUUGUUUGAGUGUGUUCUACAAUAAUAAAACAUAAGCUUUGUGUAGAAUGUAAUUAUUUAUCACCUUUUGUUUUAAAAAUAGGUAACAAACUAGUCAACUGGUAUCAACCACCCCGUGUGUUACCUGUCCUUCAAUUUGAUUGGCUAAUGAAAUAAAAUCAUCAUAGAUACUAGGAUUGAAAUUUUAUAUUAUCAUUACUCUUUCAACAAAGGGGAAAAAGAUUUUACGGUCUACUGAGCAAACUUAACGUUAUUGUUCUAUGUACACACUCAAAUAUAUCGACUAUAAAUUUUUGUUGUAUAUAAAUAUUUUAUCAUGUUUUUUUGUCAUUUCAGAAAUCAGCAUUGUACUAACUUCUAUCAAAACAAAUUGUUUAACAAAUUUAAGGAGGUAGACCUUAGUUAAG
rnacentral:lncRNA from 1 species